rnacentral:rRNA from 1 species
GGUGAACGCUGGCGGCGUGCUUAAGACAUGCAAGUCGAACGGGCUCUUCGGAGCUAGUGGCGCACGGGUGAGUAACGCGUAACUGACCUACCCCAAAGUCGCGGAUAACGAUUCGAAAGAAUCGCUAAUACGUGAUGUGCUGUCAGAUCCUGUUCUGCCAGUAAAGAUUUAUUGCUUUGGGAUGGGGUUGCGUUCCAUCAGCUAGUUGGUGGGGUAAAGGCCCACCAAGGCGACGACGGAUAGCCGGCCUGAGAGGGUGGCCGGCCACAGGGGCACUGAGACACGGGUCCCACUCCUACGGGAGGCAGCAGUUAGGAAUCUUCCACAAUGGGCGAAAGCCUGAUGGAGCGACGCCGCGUGAGGGAUGAAGGUCUUCGGAUCGUAAACCUCUGAAUCAGGGACGAAAGACACUUUAUGUGGGAUGACGGUACCUGAGUAAUAGCACCGGCUAACUCCGUGCCAGCAGCCGCAGUAAUAC